AUGGGGUCCUUCGCCAGAGCUGCCCGUUUCCUGGUGCUCCUCCAGAUCGUCCUGUUCGUCAUCUCCGCCGUGCUCAUGAGCGGCCCCGUCUGCCAUGGAGCCCGCCCAGGGAUCAGUGGUGGAGCUCUCGACCCUAACCGGCCAACAGUUACAGUUCCGCCUGGUGACCCCUACACCGGUCGUCGGUGCGGCAGCUUGUACAGGUGCCCACCAGGUGUUCAGCCCUGA
rnacentral:rRNA from 1 species